CCAUUGCAGGUGUAGGAAGCGUCCCAGCAGCGUGGGUGUGUGUUGAGAUAAGCAGACUUCCACACUCCUUUUCGUUGUUGUUGUUGGGGUGGUUACUCACACUGAGGAAGUAAACUGUAUGCUCAAGUCCAUACAGCAGGAGGGAGGAAGUUUGUAUUCAGCAGAUACCACAUACCAAUAAAGAAUGGCUGGACUAGAGUAACUGUCUGGAUUCGAUAUCUUUGAAGGCUCAGCCUUCGUUUGAAACAAACAAGGGAUUUGACCCUUCACAAACAUGAUGUGUCCAUUAGUAAGAGUAGAUAAAGAAUAAGGUGACUCCCCUAACGGAAUAAGGAAUUAUUUAGCACUUGCCACUAGAGAACAUCAUAUUUCAUUUCCCAUCAACCAGCAAUCAAGGGUGGUGUUUUGAUGACCAAGGAGAUCCUAUGUGGAACAUUGAAAAUGCUGCUUCUGUGUUCCUGAUCUUAUCUCCAGCACUCUUAGAUGUAGUUCAACAACUUCUGAAGUUUUUAACAUCACUGCACCUCCAUGCCAGAAAGGCCAUGCCCCUUGUAAUGGUGACUGCUGCAAACUGGGGCUGAUAGGGUGAAAGACAGAGAGGCCAACAGUAGGUGGAGACAGAGCUGAUGACAGGCGGGGCCAACUGAUUCUAGUUUUGUCCUGAUUUUCCUCUAUAUUGAGUUCUACAUAGGCAACACUGAGAAAAAAGGGGAGGAGCUGAUAGGAAGUGCUAUCCCCUGGGUUGUUUGUAAGUAAGAAGGCAGGCAGGUGGGUUGGCUGAGGGCAGACUGAGGUUGGUGGGACAGUGACACAUUUGCUGUAAUUGACCUGCCUCCACUGGUCCCUUGAAUGUCUCCUUGUCACUGCUUUUCAGGGAAUUGUCAAGUGCACAGGAACCACAGAAAAAAGUAGGAACUCCAACAGUGCAAGAAGUAGCAUUUGUCAUUGCAACAUAUGCCAGAUGAAAAUUUGCAGUCUGAGCACUUUAUGCCUGUCCAGUGUGCUCUCCUUGCCGAAAAGAAUGAUAAAAAGAACAAACAAAUAUUUUAAAAAAUCACAGUCACAUAGCAGCGUUCCUCUAGAAUUUCAGGAUUUUUAGAGGACAAAUUUGGAACCAGGCCCAAUCUUAAAAUAGCAGACUGUCCAGAACAACAGAGGACACCUGGACAAUCUAUUCCUAGCCCUACCUAGAGAUGCCAAGAACUGAAUCUGCAACCUUUUGCAGGCAAGGCAUGCGCUCUACCACUGAGCUACAGAACUUCCCUGGACUUCUUUCAGGGUGCUAAGUGUGGAGUAAUGCAGUUGGGUGGAUAAGUCAGCACUGCAGAGACCUUUCGUAGCCACUACAACAGUGAUAUUGGGUCAUGUUGGUAGCUGGAAUUUUGUUUUGUUCUGCAGACUGGCCUAACCAUCCGCUGCCAUCAUCCCAAACUGAAUGAUGACUUCCCCACUCCUGGCCAUUACACCAAUUGGCUAGCCAAACCUAGCAGUGCCCACUGCUGUGUUUUCUGCCCUGCAUGCAAAAUAACAGUUUGCCAGCUAUUUACAAAUUAAAGUUAGAACAAACAGUUUGUUCAGGUGGAGCCAUUAAAUUAGCUGCUGUUGCAGGUCUGGAAACUACUGGAAGUGGUUAAAGCUGGAAGGAGAUUUGGAAUAGAUUACCCAAUAAACUGGUGCAUUUAUUUACAUUGGCACAGUUUUCUGCUGUAGAAAACCCUGUUCCAAGAGGUGUUAGUCUGUGCAUGGCCAGUACUGGCAUCAAGUUUACAUAAAAUGAAGAUUCAGGAGAUUACUGGGCACAAGAACAGGCCUUAAGAACAUUAUAAACGUUAAAGCACUUAAGAAUGUUAAGCUAGCAAGCUUGCCAUUUGCUUUGAGCAUUCUAAACACCUCUUUGGAAAAGAGAAUCUGGCAUAUGUUCUGGAACAGCCAAGACAGUGUCUCAUUGUCCCUAGGGACUGGGCUGUGAGAUGGCAGACAGCCACUGAUGAUACAUUUGGCAAAAACCUCUAUAGUUUUCAGAGACCAAUUGUUUGUUAGGACCCAAUAUUGCCACUGUUCAAGCUGGGAACGUGAAGACAGAAAUCCCAUGUUAACCCCAGCACUCAGCCUUCAUAGUUGAACUAAACUGUUCCAUUUGCCUCCUUUGUCCAUCCUCUGCUGGCACCAAACGCAAUGCACAUACACACUUAGCAGAGCCUCUUUCCAACGUGUCUCACUGUAGCGGUCUUCCCCCCCCCCGUCCUCC